rnacentral:rRNA from 1 species
UACAGAGGGUGCGAGCGUUAAUCGGAAUUACUGGGCGUAAAGGGCUCGUAGGCGGCCAACUAAGUCGGACGUGAAAUCCCUCAGCUUAACUGGGGAACUGCGUCCGAUACUGGAUGGCUUGGAUUUGGGAGAGGGAUGCGGAAUUCCAGGUGUAGCGGUGAAAUGCGUAGAUAUCUGGAGGAACACCGGUGGCGAAGGCGGCAUCCUGGACCAAUAUUGACGCUGAGGAGCGAAAGCCAGGGGAGCAAACGGG